rnacentral:sRNA from 1 species
UCAUCAAGGUGGGCGAGAUGAAGUGCACGUGCGCGUCGAUCGUGCCGGCGGUGAGGAUCUUGCCGUUGCCCGCGAUGAUCUCGGUCUCGGGUCCGAUGACGAGGUCCGGGUGCACGCCGUCCAUGGUGUCCGGGUUGCCGGCCUUGCCGAGGGCGGUGAUCCGGCCGUCCCGGAUGCCGAUGUCCGCUUUGACGACGCCCCAGUGAUCGAGGACGACGACGCCGGUGAUGACCGUGUCGGGGGCGCCGUCGGCGCGGGCGGCGCGGCUUUGCCCCAUGGAUUCCCUGAUGA